GGCGAUGUGGUGGAAUUGGUAGACGCGACAGACUCAAAAUCUGUUACAUUAAGUUGUGUAUGGGUUCGAGUCCCAUCAUCGCCACCA
rnacentral:tRNA from 1 species